rnacentral:rRNA from 1 species
UACGUAGGGGGCAAGCGUUAUCCGGAUUUACUGGGUGUAAGGGGAGCGUAGACGGCGAUGCAAGCCAGAUGUGAAAGCCCGGGGCUCAACCCCGGGACUGCAUUUGGAACUGUGUGGCUGGAGUGUCGGAGAGGCAGGCGGAAUUCCUAGUGUAGCGGUGAAAUGCGUAGAUAUUAGGAGGAACACCAGUGGCGAAGGCGGCCUGCUGGACGAUGACUGACGUUGAGGCUCGAAAGCGUGGGGAGCAAACAGG